GCUCCCGUGGCGCAAUUGGUAGACGCGAUCGCCUCAAAAGCGAUUUUUGUUUGUGGGUUCGACUCCCACCGGGAGUA
rnacentral:tRNA from 1 species